CAGAUUAGUUAAGUUAUAUACACAAUAUAAUUUUAUAAAGUCCCAACAAAAACUGGUUACAUUUAAGUCAUUGGAUCUGAAGAAGCCAAUUUAUAAGUCUUUUAGGCCCCUAACUUCACCUUCCCUCAAUUAAAACUUCCAAGGAUUUUCUUUUUAAGACUGAAGUUUUAACUUUGUUCUAACAAUUAGGAUCUGGACAAAACUGGUAAGAAUUGUUUUUCCCUUGUCCAACUUUAAAAUGGUCCCUUUUGUCCUUCUCAGCGCUGUCUGAUCACUUCUUUUAAAGGAGGGUAGUAAAUGGAAGAAUUCUUCACCUUUUGUCCUUCUCAUUACUGUCUGAUCACUUCUUUUAAAGGAGGGUAGUAAAUGGAAGAAUUCUUCACCAAGCUUUUACAUAUUUAGCAGUGAGGUUGGAAUCUC
rnacentral:lncRNA from 1 species